rnacentral:lncRNA from 1 species
AGUCACAGCUGCCGAUGGACUAGGAGCCUCAUUUCAAACGAGGUUUUAGGGUGUCGCUGUCGCAGCCGACUGGGGUGGAGGUUGGGGCUGGUGUCACGGGUGGACAGGGAAAGCAGGAACCCAGGGCGCUUGGCGGUUUUCCGAGAGGACGCCCCACCCCUCCUGACCUGCUUGCAGGAAUCCACCGUCAGAGCCCGGGAGCAGGGGGUCCAGGGGAGGCAGAGAAGAGCUGUCGCUGGGAGGCGGGAGGCAGGUCAGGGCCGGGGCCGCGGGGAGGGGGGCGGCCGGGUCCCCAGAGGGUCUCCAGUAGGAAGCGUGGGCGGGCACCGUGUGGCCGGCGCUGGACACUCAGGUCUGAGAACCGAGCGGGAGACCCAGGGACCUGUUUCUCAGAACACAGACCACUUUGCAUUUGGAACCAAACAGGAGGUUCUGGUCGAGUAAGAAGACGGGGGCUGUGAGGUAUGAAAGUUGUUUCUCACUGAAUCCACGAGAACUUGAGCGGCGCGGACGUGCUGUUUCUGCCGUGUCUAAGCUAAAACAUGGGUGAGAUUUUAUCCAACAUCACACGCGGCGGGCAUACGAAUGAGGUAUAGGGACCGGCUGCUUUUCUUGAACGCACUCUCAUAACCUGAAGUCAGAAAGUCCCCGACACUCGCGUUCCUCCCGUCCUUGGAACAGGGAUGGAGAGCGUGGUGGCUCAUCCGUGGGUGCUGGCGGGCGAAGCCGGGAGGCCGUGGGU